rnacentral:ncRNA from 1 species
CUUAGCGCCAGGUCCCAGAGGAACGGAAAAGUCUGGGAUGACGAGGAGAAACGUGAUCGAAAGAUUCGGCGGAUGCGUUUCCGCACAGACCGGGUGCGUAUACAGAAGAAAAUAUGCAGGCAACUGCAAAACAAAGUUCU